GAGGUCGGAGUUCAGUCUUCCCAGGCCCACCACUUUCAUCGAGUGAGCAUUCGUCUUCUGGUUACGGGGCCAUAGCUCAGCUGGGAGAGCGCGUGCUUUGCAAGCAUGAGGUCGUCGGUUCGAUCCCGUCUGGCUCCACCAGAUGGUUUGAUCACCGAGAUCUUGUACCGUCGUCCGCGAAACAUCACUUCGCAUCCUGCUAGUCUGGAUAGACAGCAAGAUGCGUGUUUUCUGACAUCGUAAAGAGGAGAUCGAUCCGAGUUGGGUCGUGCAGCGGAUUGUUGCGCGAAUCCUUCAUUAUCUCCGGAUCAUUUUCGGCGCUCGCUUUCAGCCGUGAGGUUGAAUGCGAGUUGUAAAAUGAUCCUUUUAGCGAAGCUUGACCGCCUCGCUAUCGGAACGAUCUUACGAAGCAAGCUGGUCUUUCUAGUCAAUGUCCGGCUGUGCGUAGCGUUCAUCGAGGGCGCGUGCCGUAAGGCAAUCGUACAGACAACAUUCUGCCGAGUGUGUGGACAUUGAUAAUGAGAGCAAUCAAGUGCCUUAAGGGUGUUCGGUGGAUGCCUUGGCGCUGAGAGGCGAUGAAGGACGUGCUACGCUGCGAUAAGCCGUGGGGAGCUGCGAAGAAGCUUUGAUCCGCGGAUUUCCGAUGGGAAAAACCCC
rnacentral:misc_RNA from 1 species